AGAGUUUGAUCCUGGCUCAGGAUAAACGCUGGCGGCGUGCCUAACACAUGAUAGUCGAACGCUUUAUCCUUUUGCUCGCAAGAGCAAAAGGGAUUGAGAGUGGCGGACGGGUGAUGAACACGCGGGUUAUCUGCCUCUGGUUGAGGAAUACCGGCGAGUAAUCGCCGACUAUACCGCAUAGCCUUGGUAACAAGGAAAGCCCGGCAACGGGUGCCGAGAGAUGAGCCUGCGGCCGAUUAUGCUCGUUGGUGGGGUAAAGGCCUACCAAGGCGACGAUCGGUAGCUGGUCUGAGAGGACGAUCAGCCACACUGGGAUUGAGAACGGCCCAGACUCCUACGGGGGGCAGCAGUGAGGAAUUUUCGGCAAUGGGGGCAACCCUGACCGAGCAACGCCGCGUGCAGGACGAAGGUCUUCGGAUCGUAAACUGCUUUUCUGGGGGACGACUCCCGACGGUACCCCAGCAAUCAGCCCCGGCUAACUACGUGCCAGCAGCCGCGGUAAUACGUAGGGGGCAAGCGUUGUCCGGAUAUAUUGGGCGUAAAGCGCACGCAGGCGGUCUGCCAAGUUCGGAGUGACAGUUCCCGGCUUAACUGGGAAAGGUCUUCGAAAACUGGUGGACUUGAGACUUUGAGGGGGAGACGGAAUUCCGGGUGGAGCGGUGAAAUGCGUAUAGAUCCGGAGGAACACCGAAAGCGAAGGCAGUCUCCUGGCAAGGUUCUGACGCUCAUGUGCGAAAGCUAUGGGAGCGAACAGGAUUAAAUACCCUGGUAGUCC
rnacentral:rRNA from 1 species